GAUACUCAAAAAGAGGAAGUGAUUUUCUUCAGAAAAUAUACAGACUCAAGAAGUUCCAAAGACUACUGGAGACAUGUGUCUUGAGAAGGCUUGCCGACCUUCCCCAUAAAAUGCAUAAGUGAAAUAAUACGAUCCAGGUUGUAGAUGAAAUUAUAAGAGAAAAUGCCCUUUAGGUGACCCUCUGCAAUCCAGCCUGAGAGCUUCCUUGAGGAUUUGCAGCUAUUCUGUGACUACUAGUGUGUGCUGAAAUCACCCCAUUCUGAGAAGGCCCAUGCUCAUGCCAAGUGAGCUAACAUAACUUGACCAGCUGAGCUAGUCAAAGUACUUAAUAGACUCAUCUAAGAGCUCUACAAGAGUGGCUUUUUGCAUACAACAACAGGGCCUGCAGCUGUCAGGUUUCUUCAGCUGUCAUCAGCAGGCAUCACUGACAUCAACUAGAAUUACCAUUGAGGAACUGAAAUGUAGACACCGGCAUUGCUCUGCCCUUACACAAGCAGCUGCCUGAAGCAGGGAGUGUAAGACUGAGCUCUCAAGACUAAAAUGACUUCUUCAAAUCUACAAGGAAGAAUUUUUAUUUACAUACUCAGUUUCACCUUCAUCAAAAUGCUUUCUUUUGUAAGUUUCUUUGGUUACAAUGUCUUAUCACAGUGAUAGAAAAGAAACGAAGACACUUAUCAAAUAAUAAGUAUUUCAAAAUGUGCUUGAAUAAUAAGAUGUUAAUGAUUAUUAAUGUCAGUGAUUAUGUAAUUCAUUGUUUUA